GGGCUGAUGACUGGGGUGAAGUCGGAACAAGGUAGCCGUACCGGAAGGUGCGGCUGGAUCACCUCCUAA
rnacentral:rRNA from 1 species